GGUCAAGUGAAGAAGCGCAUACGGUGGAUGCCUUGGCAGUCAGAGGCGAUGAAAGACGUGGUAGCCUGCGAAAAGCUUCGGGGAGUCGGCAAACAGACUGUGAUCCGGAGAUGUCUGAAUGGGGGAACCCAGCCAUCAUAAGAUGGUUAUCUUGUACUGAAUACAUAGGUGCAAGAGGCGAACCAGGGGAACUGAAACAUCUAAGUACCCUGAGGAAAAGAAAUCAACCGAGAUUCCCUUAGUAGUGGCGAGCGAACGGGGACCAGCCCUUAAGUUGUAUUGAGAUUAGCGGAACACUCUGGAAAGGGUGGCCAUAGUGGGUGAUAGCCCUGUACGCGAAAAUCCCUUUGCAAUGAAAUCGAGUAGGACGGGGCACGAGAAACCUUGUCUGAAUAUGGGGGGACCAUCCUCCAAGGCUAAAUACUACUGACUGACCGAUAGUGAACCAGUACCGUGAGGGAAAGGCGAAAAGAACCGCGGAGAGCGGAGUGAAAUAGAUCCUGAAACCGUAUGCGUACAAGCAGUGGGAGCCCACUUUGUUGGGUGACUGCGUACCUUUUGUAUAAUGGGUCAGCGACUUAUUUUCAGUGGCGAGCUUAACCGAAUAGGGGAGGCGUAGCGAAAGCGAGUCUUAAUAGGGCGUCUAGUCGCUGGGAAUAGACCCGAAACCGGGCGAUCUAUCCAUGGGCAGGUUGAAGGUUGGGUAACACUAACUGGAGGACCGAACCGACUACCGUUGAAAAGUUAGCGGAUGACCUGUGGAUCGGAGUGAAAGGCUAAUCAAGCUCGGAGAUAGCUGGUUCUCCUCGAAAGCUAUUUAGGUAGCGCCUCAUGUAUCACUGUAGGGGGUAGAGCACUGUUUCGGCUAGGGGGUCAUCCCGACUUACCAAACCGAUGCAAACUCCGAAUACCUACAAGUGCCGAGCAUGGGAGACACACGGCGGGUGCUAACGUCCGUCGUGAAAAGGGAAACAACCCAGACCGUCAGCUAAGGUCCCAAAGUCAUGGUUAAGUGGGAAACGAUGUGGGAAGGCUUAGACAGCUAGGAGGUUGGCUUAGAAGCAGCCACCCUUUAAAGAAAGCGUAAUAGCUCACUAGUCGAGUCGGCCUGCGCGGAAGAUGUAACGGGGCUCAAACCAUGCACCGAAGCUACGGGUAUCAUCUUAGGAUGAUGCGGUAGAGGAGCGUUCUGUAAGCCUGUGAAGGUGAGUUGAGAAGCUUGCUGGAGGUAUCAGAAGUGCGAAUGCUGACAUGAGUAACGACAAUGGGUGUGAAAAACACCCACGCCGAAAGACCAAGGUUUCCUGCGCAACGUUAAUCGACGCAGGGUUAGUCGGUCCCUAAGGCGAGGCUGAAAAGCGUAGUCGAUGGAAAACAGGUUAAUAUUCCUGUACUUCUGGUUAUUGCGAUGGAGGGACGGAGAAGGCUAGGCCAGCCUGGCGUUGGUUGUCCAGGUUUAAGGUGGUAGGCUGAGAUCUUAGGUAAAUCCGGGAUCUUAAGGCCGAGAGCUGAUGACGAGUGUUCUUUUAGAACACGAAGUGGUUGAUGCCAUGCUUCCAAGAAAAGCUUCUAAGCUUCAGGUAACCAGGAACCGUACCCCAAACCGACACAGGUGGUUGGGUAGAGAAUACCAAGGCGCUUGAGAGAACUCGGGUGAAGGAACUAGGCAAAAUGGCACCGUAACUUCGGGAGAAGGUGCGCCGGUGGAGGUGAAGCAUUUACUGCGUAAGCCCCUGCCGGUCGAAGAUACCAGGCCGCUGCGACUGUUUAUUAAAAACACAGCACUCUGCAAACACGAAAGUGGACGUAUAGGGUGUGACGCCUGCCCGGUGCCGGAAGGUUAAUUGAUGGGGUUAGCGCAAGCGAAGCUCUUGAUCGAAGCCCCGGUAAACGGCGGCCGUAACUAUAACGGUCCUAAGGUAGCGAAAUUCCUUGUCGGGUAAGUUCCGACCUGCACGAAUGGCGUAACGAUGGCGGCGCUGUCUCCACCCGAGACUCAGUGAAAUUGAAAUCGCUGUGAAGAUGCAGUGUAUCCGCGGCUAGACGGAAAGACCCCGUGAACCUUUACUAUAGCUUUGCACUGGACUUUGAAUUUGCUUGUGUAGGAUAGGUGGGAGGCUUUGAAGCGUGGACGCCAGUCUGCGUGGAGCCAACCUUGAAAUACCACCCUGGCAACUUUGAGGUUCUAACUCAGGUCCGUUAUCCGGAUCGAGGACAGUGUAUGGUGGGUAGUUUGACUGGGGCGGUCUCCUCCUAAAGAGUAACGGAGGAGUACGAAGGUGCGCUCAGACCGGUCGGAAAUCGGUCGUAGAGUAUAAAGGCAAAAGCGCGCUUGACUGCGAGACAGACACGUCGAGCAGGUACGAAAGUAGGUCUUAGUGAUCCGGUGGUUCUGUAUGGAAGGGCCAUCGCUCAACGGAUAAAAGGUACUCCGGGGAUAACAGGCUGAUACCGCCCAAGAGUUCAUAUCGACGGCGGUGUUUGGCACCUCGAUGUCGGCUCAUCACAUCCUGGGGCUGAAGCCGGUCCCAAGGGUAUGGCUGUUCGCCAUUUAAAGUGGUACGCGAGCUGGGUUUAGAACGUCGUGAGACAGUUCGGUCCCUAUCUGCCGUGGACGUUUGAGAUUUGAGAGGGGCUGCUCCUAGUACGAGAGGACCGGAGUGGACGAACCUCUGGUGUUCCGGUUGUCACGCCAGUGGCAUUGCCGGGUAGCUAUGUUCGGAAAAGAUAACCGCUGAAAGCAUCUAAGCGGGAAACUUGCCUCAAGAUGAGAUCUCACUGGAACCUUGAGUUCCCUGAAGGGCCGUCGAAGACUACGACGUUGAUAGGUUGGGUGUGUAAGCGCUGUGAGGCGUUGAGCUAACCAAUACUAAUUGCCCGUGAGGCUUGACCAU
rnacentral:rRNA from 1 species